CCUACGGGAGGCAGCAGUGAGGAAUAUUGGUCAAUGGACGAGAGUCUGAACCAGCCAAGUAGCGUGAAGGAUGACUGCCCUAUGGGUUGUAAACUUCUUUUAUAUGGGAAUAAAAUGUUCCACGUGUGGGAUUUUGUAUGUACCAUAUGAAUAAGGAUCGGCUAACUCCGUGCCAGCAGCCGCGGUAAUACGGAGGAUCCGAGCGUUAUCCGGAUUUAUUGGGUUUAAAGGGAGCGUAGGUGGAUUGUUAAGUCAGUUGUGAAAGUUUGCGGCUCAACCGUAAAAUUGCAGUUGAAACUGGCAGUCUUGAGUACAGUAGAGGUGGGCGGAAUUCGUGGUGUAGCGGUGAAAUGCGUAGAUAUCACGAAGAACGCCGAUUGCGAAGGCAGUUCACUGGACUGCAACUGACACUGAGGCUCGAAAGUGUGGGUAUCAAACAGGAUUAGAUACCCGGGUAGUC
rnacentral:rRNA from 1 species